AGCGCUACGGCGGCCCGGCGGGGCCUCCAGCGUUCGCCUGCAGGGCGGCGUGGGGCGUGGCGGGCCUCUGGUGGCACCGCGCCCAGCACUUCGGGCUCUUGGUGGCGGCCGAGCUGCGGGACCAGAGAUCCCCCCACUCGGCACCCCUGCUCCUGCCGAGUGAACAGGACUCCUGGCUACUCUGCACUGGCUUUCUAACUUUCUGAUGGGGGUGCAGUCCUUUGCAUUCCAGGGGUCACAGCAACACCCGCAUCGCCCGUUCUCAGCCGCAGGGUCUCCGCCUGCAUCACUCGACUCUAAAAUUUCCUUCCCUAGUGCACGGAACUGCUGUCCAGGACUCUGCUCUCAUUUCUUUUAUUUUUUUCUUCCCUUCUUUCACAGGUGUUGAUCCAUUUCUAAUUCAUCUUUGUUUCUUCAUAAUGGAGUGUUGUGCCAGGUACUGUUGAGGGUACUAGCUGAUCACCAAACCCAUUUACUCUUCUUUCUUAGUAUAGAAUUGCAUUGUCCAGCCUCCCUUGAAGUUAGGUGUAGCCAUCCAGGCUUAACCUAUUGUUAAAAAACCAACAAGAAAUUCCCACAAGCAAUCUUUCAUGCUGUUUCCCUUUUUUUUUUUUUUCUUUUGGUAGAGAUGGCAUCUCACCAUGUUGAACUCGUGGCCUCAAGCGAUCCUCCUGCCUCAGCCUCCCAGUGCUGAGAUUACAGGCAUAAGCCACCAUGCCCAGUCUCUCUUUUCCCUUCUAUGGCCACAGCUGAAGAUGGCAGAACCACAAGUUAGGAGUCUUAGUUUCUGAAUUGGAACUCUUGGAGAAGAACCAUCUAGAAUAACUAUUUUGUACUUUACAUGAACGAAGCAGACUCUUCGGUUAUGUUUAGCUGUCAGCUUUAUCGUAAAACAUACUUGGGAUUCAUUGAUGAACAAGACAAGCUGGCACCUGUAGUCCCAGCACUUUGGGAGGCCAAGGCAGGAGAAUGGCUUGAGGCCGGGAUUUGCAGAUGAAACUGGGCAACGUAGCAAGACACUGUCUUUACAAAAAAUAAAGAAAAAUUAGCCAGGCACGGUGGCAUCCACCUGUAGUUGCAGCUGCUCAGGAGACUGAGGAGGAAGGAUCGCUUGAGCUCAGGAGUUCGAGGCUGCAGUGAACUAUGAUAUGAUAGUGCCACAGCAUUCAUAAUCAUCUCAUCUGCUUGCCUUGCUUGUUGAUUGGUUGCAUGUUUCUCUCAUAAGUGCAGGGACCUCAUAUCUCUGUCUAUUCACUUCUGUGUGCCCAUCAUCUAUUAUAUUGCUGGCAUAGAGAAGGCCUUUGCUAUAAACUUAUAGAAACUUGGAUAAAUGAAAGGCACCAGGCUAAGACAAGCAUGAUACCUGCCCUUUUGGACCUUACAGUAUAGAGUAGGGAAAAGAUAUUAAGUCAGUAGUGAAUAUACAAUUACAAAUCUGUUGAGUAUGAUUAAAGAAUAGAGUGCUGUGAGAGAAGGGAGAAGUAAAUUAAAUUGAGACCUGAAAGAAGAGUAGACAUUAGCCAAACUAAGUCAUGAAGAACUUUCCAGGCAAAGUCUCUUGGGGUAGGGGGAAGCUUGGCAAGUUUCAGGAAACAAAACAAGGCAGUGUGGCUGAAAGGAUCAAGGAGAAUGGUGCCAGUCAGGAUGAAGAGGGAGCUAGGAACCAGAUCAUUCAGACUCUCGUAGGCCAUGUUAGGGGGUUGCAAUUUCAUCGUAAUAACAAUGGAAAUUCAUUGAAAGGUUUUAAAAGUGGGGGAUAAAGUGAUCAAAUUGGUGAUUUUAAAAUAAUCCCUCUGUUACAUGGAGAAUGGAUUGGAGGGGGAGAAGUGAGGAUGUGGCAAAACAUUUUAAGAAAUUUAUUACAACAGCGCAGGAUGGCUUGGUCAGGUCCAGGGCCACCAAGCAAGGUUGUGGAGAUCGUGGCACAAGGGAGCAAGUGUGGCUGAAAUCCAGCCCCACUGUCUGCCCAAAAGAAGAGGCUUCUUUCACUAAUUUGCAUAAAGGUUAGCCCAGAAAUGACAGUGGUAGCAUGGAGAUGGAGCAAAGUAGACAGAUUUGGGAUAUACUUUGGUGGCAGAAUAAACCGGACUUAAUUAACUGGAGUGCAGGUUAGAGAGAGAAAGAGGUCACAAAUGAAUACCAGGUUUCUGCUGGGAACCAGUGAACAGUUGGAAAUGCCAUUUGUAGAGAUAGGCUAGAUGGAAGAUUUGAGGGUAAAGAGUGUAGUUGUCAGUUUCAGAAGAAUAAACUCCUCUGAGAUAUGACCUAACCCUCCCAGAAGGAAUGAUUUGCAUCUUCCUUUGGGAGGACAACUCAUCCUCUUCCCUUGCUGGGUUUACCCAAAAGGUGGUGGUGCUUGAGGGUGGAGGGGGGUAGGAGUAGUCUUACGAGAUGGGCACUCCUAUCCACUUGAAACUCAAGAUACUAACUCAGACCUGUAGCAAAAAUAGAGUAAGACUCUAGAAUAAAGCUGAUGCUCUUGGAUAUUUUCAAUCUUUUAUUGACAGGUACACAGGGAGUGGCAAAGGAGAUUUUUACAUGAAAUUAUGAGUACAGACCAGGCACUGUGGCUCAUUCCU
rnacentral:lncRNA from 10 species